UGCUGAAUUCUUGCUGGGUGACAAUGCAUACCCGCUGCAGCCUUGGCUGCUCACCCCCAUCCCAGGAGCACAUCAAGCAGGAUCCCCUGCUGCCCAGUUCAAU
rnacentral:lncRNA from 1 species